GCUAAGCACUAAACACUGAGUGAACACUAUACAACACCCUCCGCCAGAGGAUUACAAAUGAAAAAUUUAAAACUCAAAGGACUUGACGGUGUCCCACAUCAACCUAGAGGAGCCUGUCCUAUAAUCGAUAACCCUCGCUUCACCCGACCUUAACUAGCCCACCCCAGCCUAUAUACCGCCGUCGACAGCUUACCCCAUGAGGGAUGAAUAGUAAGCAUAACAGGCCCCCCCUAGCACGUCAGGUCAAGGUGUAGCAAAUGUUAAGGAAGAGAUUGGCUACAUUUUUUAUAUUAAAAUACGAAAAGUACCAUGAAAUAGUACAUGAAGAUGGAUUUAGAAGUAAAAUAAAUUAGAGUGUUUAUUUUAAUACUGCUCUGGGACGCGUACACACCGCCCGUCACCCUCCUCAAUAAAAAAUUUUAUAUACAUAAAACACCCACCUAAGAUAGAGGAGGU
rnacentral:rRNA from 1 species